CUCAACUGUGCAUGCACUUUUCUAUUUGGUGCUCGCAGACGUUAUGGGAAAGUUGUCUCUCUCCCUCUCCCUCUCCCUCUCCCCAUCCCUCCCUCCUGCUCCUUCUCUUCGUCUAUCAUGUGCUUGGGAUAUGCUCAUGCUUUGCACAGAGCAGCUGAAGCACGCCUAAUGCAGGCUACUGAGUGUAAGCGGCAAUUUUAAAGUGAUGCCUCACCCCCUCCCCCGUUCCCACCAAAUAAUACGGCUGGGAUAUGUGAGGGGAACGUGCACACGGUACACACGGACCCGGCUGAAACACCGCUGUUCUCCUGCUGCUUGGGACGCUUUCUGAUCGACCGCAGUGAUUUGACUCACCUUUAGGAAUGAUGGAGAAAGGGAGCUGUGGUGGGGAACUGCAGGCAGCAGGAAGUGGAGGGCCACAUGAGAUCUCUGGGAUUUUGCUCUCCACUGGACCCACAUGAGGUUGGACCUCGUACAUUUUGACCCAAAAACAAAUGGCGCGAUGACUGGAGUCUCCGGGCUAAAGACGUCAAGGAUAUUUAUCUGAUCUCAGAGGUGAAUUAAUCCCCGUGAUCAAGUAGAGAGGAGCCUGGAUUCCAUCAAAGACAGGUGCCUCAAGGUGUCGGAGCUUCACGUUACUCUCUACGGGACUUGGACUUGCACUGAACUCUGAAUUUCUGUCACCUGGUUUUACGAGUUAACAUGCAAAAAUAUACCCAUAUAUUUAUUUUUUUGAUGGAGGAAUAUGAUGGUAGAAAUGGACUGAAAAUACUCCCCACAUUGAAACUUGUAUUUAUUUCAUAUAAUUGAUUGAGUUUAAUAAGUAUAUUUUUUGACAGCUAAAUAAAGGUUUUUUUUCUCCUUUAAGUGAUGUUUCAGUUGAGUUAUUUUCCUCCUUGCUGUGUAGUGCUUUGGCACUCCAGGUAAAGAACAACGUGCUUGACAUAAUUGGGUCCUAUUUGGUUAUGAAAAGAGCAUGCGUGCUGAUAAAAGCUGGCAGCAUGAUCAAAGUGCUG